rnacentral:rRNA from 1 species
AUUGAACGCUGGCGGCAGGCCUAACACAUGCAAGUCGAACGGUAACAGGAAGCAGCUUUCUGCUUUGCUGACGAGUGGCGGACGGGUGAGUAAUGUCUGUGAAACUUCCUGAUGGAGGGGGAUAACUACUGGAAACGGUAGCUAAUACCGCAUAACGUCGCAAGACCAAAGAGGGGGACCUUAGGGCCUCUUGCCAUCGGAUGUGCCCAGAUGGGAUUAGCUAGUAGGUGGGGUAACGGCUCACCUAGGCGACGAUCCCUAGCUGGUCUGAGAGGAUGACCAGCCACACUGGAACUGAGACACGGUCCAGACUCCUACGGGAGGCAGCAGUGGGGAAUAUUGCACAAUGGGCGCAAGCCUGAUGCAGCCAUGCCGCGUGUAUGAAGAAGGCCUUCGGGUUGUAAAGUACUUUCAGCGGGGAGGAAGGGAGUAAAGUUAAUACCUUUGCUCAUUGACGUUACCCGCAGAAGAAGCACCGGCUAACUCCGUG